rnacentral:rRNA from 1 species
GACGAACGCUGGCGGCGUGCUUAACACAUGCAAGUCGAGCGGUAAGGCCUUUCGGGGUACACGAGCGGCGAACGGGUGAGUAACACGUGGGUGAUCUGCCCUGCACUUCGGGAUAAGCCUGGGAAACUGGGUCUAAUACCGGAUAUGACCUCCUAUCGCAUGGUGGGUGGUGGAAAGAUUUAUCGGUGCAGGAUGGGCCCGCGGCCUAUCAGCUUGUUGGUGGGGUAAUGGCCUACCAAGGCGACGACGGGUAGCCGACCUGAGAGGGUGACCGGCCACACUGGGACUGAGACACGGCCCAGACUCCUACGGGAGGCAGCAGUGGGGAAUAUUGCACAAUGGGCGAAAGCCUGAUGCAGCGACGCCGCGUGAGGGAUGACGGCCUUCGGGUUGUAAACCUCUUUCAGCAGGGACGAAGCGCAAGUGACGGUACCUGCAGAAGAAGCACCGGCUAACUGCGUG